UUGGAGCUCGAAGAACAUAAGAUUUGCCUCGGCACAUGUUAAGUUGAAGAACUGAUCAUCAGUUAGAAGCCGAUACUUUAAAAGCUAAGUUGUCUAUUCUUGAGCUAAAUAUAACUUUUUUUAUUUUCUUAUUUUGUUAACUUUCUCAAUUUCUAUUUCUAUGUUAGUACUUCUACCUCAUCUCUACCAAACAUUACUUUUGAAGUAAC
rnacentral:lncRNA from 1 species